rnacentral:rRNA from 1 species
UACGGAGGGAGCUAGCGUUGUUCGGAAUUACUGGGCGUAAAGCGCACGUAGGCGGCUUUGUAAGUUAGAGGUGAAAGCCCGGAGCUCAACUCCGGAACUGCCUUUAAGACUGCAUCGCUUGAAUCCAGGAGAGGUGAGUGGAAUUCCGAGUGUAGAGGCGAAAUGCGCAGAUAUCAGGAGGAACACCAAUUGCGAAGGCAGCUCGCUGGGACGUCACUGACGCUGGAGACGCGAAAGCCGUGGGGGAGCAAACAGG